rnacentral:rRNA from 1 species
AUUGAACGCUGGCGGAAUGCUUUACACAUGCCAGUCGAACGGCAGCACGGGGGCAGCCCUGGUGGCGAGUGGCGAACGGGUGAGUAAUACAUCGGAACGUGCCCGGUCGUGGGGGAUAACGUAGCGAAAGUUACGCUAAUACCGCAUACGAUCUGAGGAUGAAAGCGGGGGACCUUCGGGCCUCGCGCGAUCGGAGCGGCCGAUGUCAGAUUAGGUAGUUGGUGGGGUAAAGGCCUACCAAGCCGACGAUCUGUAGCUGGUCUGAGAGGACGGCCAGCCACACUGGGACUGAGACACGGCCCAGACUCCUACGGGAGGCAGCAGUGGGGAAUUUUGGACAAUGGGCGCAAGCCUGAUCCAGCCAUUCCGCGUGCAGGACGAAGGCCUUCGGGUUGUAAACUGCUUUUGUACGGAACGAAAAGGCUCUGGCUAAUACCUGGGGCUCAUGACGGUACCGUAAGAAUAAGCACCGGCUAACUACGUG